rnacentral:rRNA from 1 species
GGUUCAGGAUGAACGCUAGCGGCAGGCUAACACAUGCAAGUCGAGGGGCAUCGGGAGUAGCAAUACUGCCGGCGACCGGCGCAAGGGUGCGUAACGCGUGAGCAACAUGCCCGUAUCAGGGGGGAUAAUCCAUGGAAACGUGGUCUAAUACCCCAUAGUAAUUAUGUAAGGCAUCUUAUAUAAUUUAAAGCUUUGGUGGAUACGGAUUGGCUCGCGUGACAUUAGCUAGAUGGUAAGGUAACGGCUUACCAUGGCUACGAUGUCUAGGGGUUCUGAGAGGAAGGUCCCCCACACUGGAACUGAGACACGGUCCAGACUCCUACGGGAGGCAGCAGUGAGGAAUAUUGGACAAUGGAUGGAAAUCUGAUCCAGCCAUGCCGCGUGCAAGGAAGACGGCCCUAUGGGUUGUAAACUGCUUUUGUAUGGGAGCAAUAAGGGCUACGCGUAGUCCGAUGAGAGUACCAUACGAAUAAGCACCGGCUAACUCCGUGCCAGCAGCCGC